CAAUGCUGGAGUCAAGUUCUAUAUUCUAUGUGGGAGGCCAAGGAAAAGAUUACUUAGGUUGAUUCCAUGUCUUGGUGACAGAAGAGUGCUGUGGUGAACAUGGUCAUGCAGAUGUCUCUUCAAAGUGCUGAUUUCAUGUUCUUCAGGUACAUACCAGUUGUCAGAUUCCUGGAUCAUAUGGUCCUGUACCUCUGGCCACAAGGUAUAGUCAAGUAACAAAAGGUGGAUGACUCAUGGCACCUCAUCCUGCCUGGUUCCAGGAGACACCCGGAUGUGGCUGUUCAUUUUUGUCUAAAACUUUUAUACGAAGAUCUUAGCUUGAGAAUGAGACUAGUGUGGUCUUCCCUGAAUCAGCCCAGCAAGAUCGUGUGACUCAAUCAGCUAUUCGGAUAAGAAGACAAUUGUCUUAUGCAA